rnacentral:rRNA from 1 species
AUCGAACGCUGGCGGCAGGCCUAAUACAUGCAAGUCGAGCGGUUGAGGGGAGAUUGUUCCUGGCUUCAGUGGCGGACGGAUGGGUAAUUCCUACGAAUCUGCCCGGUCGUGGGGGAUAACGUCAGGAUACGGGACCUAAUCCCGCAUACGUUCUCAGGGAGUAAGACAGGGCAUUUCGGACCACAGGCCAAUUGCUCAACUAAGGUCGGAUUCGCUAGUUUGUGGGGUAAAGGCCUACCAAGGCGACGACCCGUAACUGGUCUGAUAGGAUGAUCAGUCACACUGGAACUGAGACACGGUCCAGACUCCUACGGGAGGCAGCAGUGGGGAAUAUUGGACAAUGGGCGAAAGCCUGAUCCAGCCAUGCCGCGUGUGUGAAGAAGGUCUUCGGAUUGUAAAGCACUUUAAGUUGGGAGGAAGGGCAGUAAGUUAAUACCUUGCUGUUUUGACGUUACCAACAGAAUAAGCACCGGCUAACUUCGUG